rfam:Arsenicibacter rosenii strain SM-1 scaffold80, whole genome shotgun sequence.
AAACACGAGCAAAAGAGCGUCUGGGGGAUGCCUUGGCUUCUAGCGGCGAAGAAGGACGUGGCAAGCGACGAUAUGCGACGGGGACCUGCUGGCAGGGGCUGAUCCGUUGAUUUCCGAAUGGGGCAACCCAAUAUGCAAAGCAUAUUAUUCCGAGAGGAAGGCGAACCCGCUGAACUGAAACAUCUAAGUAGGCGGAGGAAGAGAAAACAAGUAGUGAUUUUCCAAGUAGUGGCGAGCGAACGGGAAACAGCCUAAACCGGUUCCGUUACGGCGGGAUCGGGGUUGUAGGACCAGACAACAAGCAGUAUGUCAAACCGGAGCACCUUGGGAAGGGUGACCAUAGAGGGUGAUAGUCCCGUACGGGUAGAUACAGACUGCGGGUUUGGGAUCCUGAGUAGGGGGAGGCAGGAAGAACCUCCUUUGAAUCCGGCGGCACCAUCCGCCAAGGCUAAAUACGACUAGAAGACCGAUAGAGGAGAGUACCGUGAGGGAAAGGUGAAAAGGACGGGGAGUACCCGGGUGAAACAGAACCUGAAACCAGGCGCUUACAAGCGGUCGGAGCCCUCAGCAGGGGGUGACGGCGUGCCUUUUGCAUAAUGAGCCUACGAGUAACUUUAUCUGGCGAGGUUAAGUAUGUGGACAUACGGAGCCGAAGCGAAAGCGAGUCUGAACAGGGCGAGCAGUCAGGUGGAGUUGACGCGAAACUUGGUGAUCUACCCGUGGUCAGGUUGAGGUGGUGGUAACACACCAUGGAGGACCGAACCGAUAAACGUUGAAAAGUUUCCGGAUGAACUGCGGGUAGGGGUGAAAGGCCAAUCAAACUGAGAAAUAGCUCGUACUCUCCGAAAUGUUUUUAGGAACAGCGUUCAGUGUUACUUUCCAUGAGGUAGAGCGACCAACAGGAUGCGGGGGAGUCACAUCCUACCAACUUCUGAUGAACUCCGAAUGCGUGGAAAGGUGCUGGGCAGUGAGGGGCAGGGUGCUAAGGUCCUGCUCCGAGAGGGGAACAACCCAGACCAUCCUCUAAGGUCCCUAAGUGUGUGCUAAGUUGAACAAAGGAGGUCCGGCUGCCGAGACAGCCAGGAGGUUAGCUUGGAAGCAGCUAUUCCUUUAAAGAGUGCGUAACAGCUCACUGGUCGAGCGGGGCGGGCAUCGAUAAUAAACGGGCAUCAAGCACACCACCGAAGAGAUGGAUUGCAGUCUGACUGCGAUGGUAGGAGAGCAUUCACAUUGCGGCGAAGUUGUGGCGUGAGCCAUGGUGGAGCGGUGUGAAAAGCAAAUGUAGGCAUAAGUAACGAUAAUGAGGGCGAGAACCCCUCACACCGAAAGACUAAGGAUUCCGUCGCGAUGGCAGUCAACGGCGGGUUAGUCGGGGCCUAAGGAGCAGGCGAAAGCUGAAUCUGAAGGGGAGCAGGUUAAUAUUCCUGCACUAGUGAUACAUGUGAAGUGAUGACGGAGUGUUGAGCUGGUUGGGAUCUGACGGAAUAGAUCGCUGAGCGGAGGCUACGGCUGAAGCGAAACCGGGGAUAGGCUUCCAAGAAAAGUCACGGAAACGUCAGUGUAUCAGUACCCGUACCGUAAACCGACACAGGUAGUCGAGGCGAAGAGCCUAAGGUGCGCGAGAGAAUCAUGGCUAAGGAACUCGGCAAGAUGACCCUGUAACUUCGGGAGAAGGGGGGCCUACCCAGCGAUGGGAGGCUGCAGAGAAGAGGCCCAGGCGACUGUUUACCAAAAACACAGGACUCUGCCAAAUCGAGAGAUGACGCAUAGGGUCUGACACCUGCCCGGUGCUGGAAGGUUAAGAGGGGGUGUUAGCGCAAGCGACGCACUGAAUUGAAGCCCCAGUAAACGGCGGCCGUAACUAUAACGGUCCUAAGGUAGCGAAAUUCCUUGUCGGGUAAGUUCCGACCUGCACGAAUGGUGUAACGAUCUGGGCACUGUCUCAGCCAUGAGCUCGGUGAAAUUGUAGUAGCGGUGAAGAUGCCGCUUACCCGCCACGGGACGGAAAGACCCCGUGCACCUUUACUACAGCUUAUCAUGGAUUGCUGGUCAGGGAUGUGUAGGAUAGGCGGGAGACUGUGAGACGGCGUCGCCAGGCGUCGUGGAGUCAGCGUUGAAAUACCGCCCUUUUCUGACUGGUGGUCUAACCCUUUGUUGGGGACAGUGGUUGGUGGGUAGUUUGACUGGGGUGGUCGCCUCCGAAAGGGUAACGGAGGCUUCCCAAGGUCCGCUCAGGCCGGAUGGUAAUCGGUCGUGGAGUGCAAUAGCAAAAGCGGGCUUGACAGUGAGGCAAACAGGCCGAUCUGGUACGAAAGUAGGGUAUAGUGAUCCGGUGGUUCUGCAUGGGUGGGCCAUCGCUCAAAGGAUAAAAGGUACGCCGGGGAUAACAGGCUGAUCUCCCCCAAGAGCUCACAUCGACGGGGAGGUUUGGCACCUCGAUGUCGGCUCGUCACAUCCUGGGGCUGGAGAAGGUUCCAAGGGUUCGGCUGUUCGCCGAUUAAAGUGGCACGCGAGCUGGGUUCAGAACGUCGUGAGACAGUUCGGUCCCUAUCUGUGGUGGGCGUAAGAAGUUUGACGGGGGCUGACCUUAGUACGAGAGGACCGGGUUGGACAUACCGCUGGCGAAUCAGUUGUCAUGCCGGUGGCACGGCUGAGUAGCUACGUAUGGUUAAGAUAAGCGCUGAAAGCAUCUAAGUGCGAAACUGGCCUGAAGAUGAGACUUCUGAAAAAGGGAUGUUGUAGACGACGACGUUGAUAGGUGGCAUGUGGAGGCGCUGAGAGGCGUAGAGCAGAGCCAUACUAAUGAUCCCGGAAUCGUGUUGGG